UACGUAGGGGGCAAGCGUUGUCCGGAUUUAUUGGGCGUAAAGCGCUCGCAGGUGGCCCGAUGCGUCGUGCGUGAAAGACCCCGGCUCAACUGGGGGGUGUCGUGCGAUACGGUCGGGCUGGAGGCCAGUAGGGGGAUGCGGAAUUCCGGGUGUAGUGGUGGAAUGCGUAGAGAUCCGGAGGAACACCAGCGGCGAAGGCGGCAUCCUGGACUGGUCCUGACACUCAUGAGCGAAAGCGUGGGGAGCGAUCCGG
rnacentral:rRNA from 1 species